rnacentral:tRNA from 1 species
AGUAAAGUCAGCUAACCAAGCUCUCGGGCCCAUACCCCGAAAAUGGUGGUUUAAGUCCAUCCUGUACUA